rnacentral:rRNA from 1 species
ACGGGUGAGUAAUACGUAAACAAUCUGCCCUCGAAUGGGAGACAACCGGGCGAAAGUCUGGCUAAUACCCCAUACAAUCCACUUGGAGCAUUCCUAGUGGAUGAAAGGCCCGCAAGGGUCGUUCGAGGAGGAGUUUACGGCCUAUCAGCUAGUUGGUGGUGUAACGGACCACCAAGGCUAUGACGGGUAGCCGAUCUAAGAGGAUGACCGGCCACAAGGGCACUGAGACACGGGCCCU